AACCUUUCAAUGGUGAGAACUCAAACGUUGAUUUGAGUGCUAUGAAUCCUUUCAUUGAAUAGGAAGAUCUGAUGC